UCCUUGGUAGUAUAGCGGUGAGUAUCUCCGCCUGUCACGCGGAAGACCGGGGUUCCAUUCCCCGCCAAGGAG
rnacentral:tRNA from 1 species